ACACCGCCCGUCGCUACUACCGAUUGAAUGGCUCAGUGAGGCGUCCGGACUGGCCCAGAGAGGUGGGCAACUACCACUCAGGGCCGGAAAGCUCUCCAAACUCGGUCAUUUAGAGGAAGUAAAAGUCGUAACAAGGUCUCCGUUGGUGAACCAGCGGAGGGAUCAUUACCGAGUUUACAACUCCCAAACCCCUGUGAACAUACCACUUGUUGCCUCGGCGGAUCAGCCCGCUCCCGGUAAAACGGGACGGCCCGCCAGAGGACCCCUAAACUCUGUUUCUAUAUGUAACUUCUGAGUAAAACCAUAAAUAAAUCAAAACUUUCAACAACGGAUCUCUUGGUUCUGGCAUCGAUGAAGAACGCAGCAAAAUGCGAUAAGUAAUGUGAAUUGCAGAAUUCAGUGAAUCAUCGAAUCUUUGAACGCACAUUGCGCCCGCCAGUAUUCUGGCGGGCAUGCCUGUUCGAGCGUCAUUUCAACCCUCAAGCACAGCUUGGUGUUGGGACUCGCGUUAAUUCGCGUUCCCCAAAUUGAUUGGCGGUCACGUCGAGCUUCCAUAGCGUAGUAGUAAAACCCUCGUUACUGGUAAUCGUCGCGGCCACGCCGUAAACCCCAACUUNGAAUGUGACCUCGGAUCAGGUAG
rnacentral:rRNA from 1 species